AGGGUUCGAUUAUGGCUCAGGAUGAACGCUAGCUACAGGCUUAACACAUGCAAGUCGAGGGGCAGCGGGAUUGAAGCUUGCUUCAAUUGCCGGCGACCGGCGCACGGGUGAGUAACGCGUAUCCAACCUUCCGUACACUCAGGGAUAGCCUUUCGAAAGAAAGAUUAAUACCUGAUGGUAUGAUGAGAUUGCAUGAUAGCAUCAUUAAAGAUUUAUCGGUGUACGAUGGGGAUGCGUUCCAUUAGGUAGUAGGCGGGGUAACGGCCCACCUAGCCAACGAUGGAUAGGGGUUCUGAGAGGAAGGUCCCCCACAUUGGAACUGAGACACGGUCCAA
rnacentral:rRNA from 1 species